UCCAGACUCCUACGGGAGGCAGCAGUGGGGAAUAUUGCACAAUGGGGGAAACCCUGGUGCAGCAACGCCGCGUGAGUGAAGAAGUAUUUCGGUAUGUAAAGCUCUAUCAGCAGGGAAGAAAAUGACAGUACCUGACUAAGAAGCCCCGGCUAACUACGUGCCAGCAGCCGCGGUAAUACGUAGGGGGCAAGCGUUAUCCGGAUUUACUGGGUGUAAAGGGAGCGUAGGCGGUUUAGCAAGUCAGAAGUGAAAGCCCGGGGCUCAACUCCGGGACUGCUUUUGAAACUGUUGAACUAGAUUGCAGGAGAGGUAAGUGGAAUUCCUAGUGUAGCGGUGAAAUGCGUAGAUAUUAGGAGGAACACCAGUGGCGAAGGCGGCUUACUGGACUGUAAAUGACGCUGAGGCUCGAAAGCGUGGGGAGCAAACAGGAUUAGAUACCCUGGUACG
rnacentral:rRNA from 1 species